CAACUUUUAGCAACGGAUCUCUUGGCUCUCGCAUCGAUGAAGAACGCAGAAA
rnacentral:rRNA from 1 species